AAUGGGCGMAAGCCUGACGGAGCAAGACCGCGUGCGGGAGGAAGGUUUAUGGACUGUAAACCUCUUUUGAUAGGGAAGAAGAUCUGACGGUACCUAUCGAAUCAGCAUCGGCUAACUCCGUGCCAGCAGCCGCGGUAAUACGGGGGAUGCAAGCGUUAUCCGGAAUUAUUGGGCGUAAAGCGUCCGUAGGUGGUUUUUCAAGUCUGUUGUCAAAUCGCGAAGCUUAACCUCGUACAGGCAGUGGAAACUAUAAGACUAGAGUGCGGUAGGGGUAGAGGGAAUUUCCAGUGUAGCGGUGAAAUGCGUAGAUAUUGGAAAGAACACCGGUGGCGAAGGCGCUCUACUGGGCCUGCACUGACACUGAUGGACGAAAGCUAGGGGAGCGAAAGGGAUUAGAUACCCC
rnacentral:rRNA from 1 species